rnacentral:rRNA from 1 species
AACGAACGCUGGCGGCAGGCCUAACACAUGCAAGUCGAACGGACGUAGCAAUACGUUAGUGGCGCACGGGAGAGUAACGCGUGGGAACCUACCUUUUGGCUCGGGAUAACAUCGGGAAACUGGUGCUAAUACCGGAUAAGCCCUUCGGGGGAAAGAUUUAUUGCCGAAAGAUGGGCCCGCGUUGGAUUAGCUAGUUGGUGAGGUAACGGCUCACCAAGGCAACGAUCCAUAGCUGGUCUGAGAGGAUGAUCAGCCUCACUGGGACUGAGACACGGCCCAGACUCCUACGGGAGGCAGCAGUGGGGAAUAUUGGACAAUGGGGGAAACCCUGAUCCAGCCAUGCCGCGUGAAUGAUGAAGGCCUUCGGGUUGUAAAGUUCUUUUGGUGGGGACGAUGAUGACGGUACCCACAGAAUAAGCUCCGGCUAACUUCGUGCCAGCAGCCGCAGUAAGAC